rfam:Schistosoma rodhaini strain Burundi genome assembly, scaffold: SROB_scaffold0005748
CUGCCACUGAGGAGUUCCAUAAUAGGAUGAAACGGCCGUCCAGUAC